rnacentral:misc_RNA from 1 species
UCUUAGCCUCGAUUGGAGCAUUUGUUUGAGCUCAUUUUUUAUGAUUCGGCGCGGCAGCUUUGCUGCCGCGCCGAAUCAUAAAAAUAGCGAGUGCGGAAAGCGAGAAAAGCU